AUUGAACGCUGGCGGCAGGCCUAACACUUGCAAGUCGAGCGGAUGAAGGGAGCUUGCUCCUGGAUUCAGCGGCGGACGGGUGAGUAAUGCCUAGGAAUCUGCCUGGUAGUGGGGGAUAACGUCCGGAAACGGGCGCUAAUACCGCAUACGUCCUGAGGGAGAAAGUGGGGGAUCUUCGGACCUCACGCUAUCAGAUGAGCCUAGGUCGGAUUAGCUAGUUGGUGGGGUAAAGGCCUACCAAGGCGACGAUCCGUAACUGGUCUGAGAGGAUGAUCAGUCACACUGGAACUGAGACACGGUCCAGACUCCUACGGGAGGCAGCAGUGGGGAAUAUUGGACAAAGGGCGAAAGCCUGAUCCAGCCAUGCCGCGUGUGUGAAGAAGGUCUUCGGAUUGUAAAGCACUUUAAGUUGGGAGGAAGGGCAGUAAGUUAAUACCUUGCUGUUUUGACGUUACCAACAGAAUAAGCACCGGCUAACUUCGUG
rnacentral:rRNA from 1 species